CAAUAGCGUAUAUUAAAGUUGUUGCAGUUAAAAAGCUCGUAGUUGGAUUUCUGGUCGGAAGCUCCUGUCCUCUGAUGAGCGUACAAGUGCGUCCUACCAUCCUUCUGUUAACCUUUAAGGCUUUCGCGGCUUUCUAGGGGCUCAGAUAUUUUACCUUGAGAAAAUUAGAGUGUUUCAGGCAGGCUAGCGCCGGAAUACAUUAGCAUGGAAUAAUGGAAUAGGACUUUUGCCUCUUCUGUUGGUCAUGAGGCUCGAGUAAUGAUUAAUAGGGAUAGUUGGGGGCAUUAGUACUUAACUGUCAGAGGUGAAAUUCUCAGAUUUGUUAAAGACUAACUUAUGCGAAAGCAUUUGCCAAGGAUGUUUUCAUUAA
rnacentral:rRNA from 1 species